rnacentral:rRNA from 1 species
UGAAUACGAGACGCUAAGGCGUCGAAGUAGUGUAUGUCAUACUUCCAAGAAAAGCUUGCACUGUCAUAGAUAAAAAACGCCUGUACCAUAACCGACACAGGUGGGUAGGUAGAGUAUACUAAGGGGCGCGAGAUAACUCUCUCUAAGGAACUCGGCAAAAUAACUCCGUAACUUCGGGAGAAGGAGUGCCUUAUUUUUAAGGCUGCAAUAACAAGAUCCAAGCAACUGUUUAUCAAAAACACAGGUCUCCGCUAAGUCGUAAGACGAUGUAUGGGGGCUGACGCCUGCCCAGUGCCAGAAGGUUAAAGAAGUUGGUUAGCUUUUGCGAAGCUGAUAACUGAAGCCCUGGUGAACGGCGGCCGUAACGAUAACGGUCCUAAGGUAGCGAAAUUCCUUGUCGGGUAAGUUCCGACCCGCACGAAAGGCGUAAUGAUUUGGAUACUGUCUCGGAGAGGGGCUCGGUGAAAUAGACUUGUCUGUGAAGAUGCGGACUACCUGCACCAGGACAGAAAGACCCUAUGAAGCUUUACUGUAACUUGAAAUUGAAAUUGGACUUUAUUCGCGCAGCAUAGGUGGGAGGCGUUGAUUAUAAUCUCGUGGGAUUAUUGGAGCCAUCAGUGAGAUACCACUCUUGUAAUGUUAGAUUUCUAACUUUGAAUCAUUAUCUGGUCAAAGAACAGUUUCAGGCGGGCAGUUUGACUGGGGCGGUCGCCUCCUAAACGGUAACGGAGGCGUACAAAGGUUUCCUCUGAACGGUUAGAAAUCGUAUCUAGAGUGUAAAGGCAUAAGGAAGCUUGACUGUGAGACCUACAAGUCGAGCAGGGACGAAAGUCGGUCUUAGUGAUCUGACGGUACUGAGUGGAAAGGCCGUCACUCAACGGAUAAAAGUUACUCUAGGGAUAACAGGCUGAUCUCCCCCAAGAGUUCACAUCGACGGGGAGGUUUGGCACCUCGAUGUCGGCUCAUCGCAUCCUGGGGCGGUAGUACGUCCCAAGGGUUGGGCUGUUCGCCCAUGAAAGCGGUACGCGAGCUGGGUUCAGAACGUCGUGAGACAGUUCGGUCCAUAUCCGGUGUAGGCGUUAGAAUAUUGAUAGGAGCCUUCUUUAGUACGAGAGGACCGAGAAGGACAUACCUCUGGUGUACCAGUUAUCGUGCCAACGGUAAACGCUGGGUAGCUAUGUAUGGAGUGGAUAACCGCUGAAAGCAUCUAAGUGGGAAGCCCACCUCAAGAUAAG